GUUAUAUGGUCAAGUGAAGAAGCGCAUACGGUGGAUGCCUUGGCAGUCAGAGGCGAUGAAAGACGUGGUAGCCUGCGAAAAGCUUCGGGGAGUCGGCAAACAGACUGUGAUCCGGAGAUGUCUGAAUGGGGGAACCCAGCUGUCAUAAGACAGUUACCUUACACUGAAUACAUAGGUGUAUGGAGCGAACCAGGGGAACUGAAACAUCUAAGUACCCUGAGGAAAAGAAAUCAACCGAGAUUCCCUUAGUAGUGGCGAGCGAACGGGGACCAGCCCUUAAGUUGGAUUGAGAGUAGCGGAACGCUCUGGAAAGUGCGGCCAUAGUGGGUGAUAGCCCUGUACGCGAAAGUCUCUUUGCAAUGAAAUCGAGUAGGACGGGGCACGAGAAACCUUGUCUGAAUAUGGGGGGACCAUCCUCCAAGGCUAAAUACUACUGACUGACCGAUAGUGAACCAGUACCGUGAGGGAAAGGCGAAAAGAACCGCGGAGAGCGGAGUGAAAUAGAUCCUGAAACCGUAUGCGUACAAGCAGUGGGAGCCCACUUUGUUGGGUGACUGCGUACCUUUUGUAUAAUGGGUCAGCGACUUAUUUUCAGUGGCAAGCUUAACCGAAUAGGGGAGGCGUAGCGAAAGCGAGUCUUAAUAGGGCGUCUAGUCGCUGGGAAUAGACCCGAAACCGGGCGAUCUAUCCAUGGGCAGGUUGAAGGUUAGGUAACACUGACUGGAGGACCGAACCGACUACCGUUGAAAAGUUAGCGGAUGACCUGUGGAUCGGAGUGAAAGGCUAAUCAAGCUCGGAGAUAGCUGGUUCUCCUCGAAAGCUAUUUAGGUAGCGCCUCAUGUAUCACUGUAGGGGGUAGAGCACUGUUUCGGCUAGGGGGUCAUCCCGACUUACCAAACCGAUGCAAACUCCGAAUACCUACAAGUGCCGAGCAUGGGAGACACACGGCGGGUGCUAACGUCCGUCGUGAAAAGGGAAACAACCCAGACCGUCAGCUAAGGUCCCAAAGUCAUGGUUAAGUGGGAAACGAUGUGGGAAGGCUUAGACAGCUAGGAGGUUGGCUUAGAAGCAGCCACCCUUUAAAGAAAGCGUAAUAGCUCACUAGUCGAGUCGGCCUGCGCGGAAGAUGUAACGGGGCUCAAACCAUGCACCGAAGCUACGGGUAUCAUCUUUUGAUGAUGCGGUAGAGGAGCGUUCUGUAAGCCUGUGAAGGUGAGUUGAGAAGCUUGCUGGAGGUAUCAGAAGUGCGAAUGCUGACAUGAGUAACGACAAUGGGUGUGAAAAACACCCACGCCGAAAGACCAAGGUUUCCUGCGCAACGUUAAUCGACGCAGGGUUAGUCGGUCCCUAAGGCGAGGCUGAAAAGCGUAGUCGAUGGAAAACAGGUUAAUAUUCCUGUACUUCUGGUUAUUGCGAUGGAGGGACGGAGAAGGCUAGGCCAGCCUGGCGUUGGUUGUCCAGGUUUAAGGUGGUAGGCUGAGAUCUUAGGUAAAUCCGGGGUCUCAAGGCCGAGAGCUGAUGACGAGUGUUCCUUUGGAACACGAAGUGGUUGAUGCCAUGCUUCCAAGAAAAGCUUCUAAGCUUCAGGUAACCAGGAACCGUACCCCAAACCGACACAGGUGGUUGGGUAGAGAAUACCAAGGCGCUUGAGAGAACUCGGGUGAAGGAACUAGGCAAAAUGGCACCGUAACUUCGGGAGAAGGUGCGCCGGUGAGGGUGAAGCAUUUACUGCGUAAGCCCACGCCGGUCGAAGAUACCAGGCCGCUGCGACUGUUUAUUAAAAACACAGCACUCUGCAAACACGAAAGUGGACGUAUAGGGUGUGACGCCUGCCCGGUGCCGGAAGGUUAAUUGAUGGGGUUAGCGCAAGCGAAGCUCUUGAUCGAAGCCCCGGUAAACGGCGGCCGUAACUAUAACGGUCCUAAGGUAGCGAAAUUCCUUGUCGGGUAAGUUCCGACCUGCACGAAUGGCGUAACGAUGGCGGCGCUGUCUCCACCCGAGACUCAGUGAAAUUGAAAUCGCUGUGAAGAUGCAGUGUAUCCGCGGCUAGACGGAAAGACCCCGUGAACCUUUACUAUAGCUUUGCACUGGACUUUGAAUUUGCUUGUGUAGGAUAGGUGGGAGGCUUUGAAGCGUGGACGCCAGUCUGCGUGGAGCCAACCUUGAAAUACCACCCUGGCAACUUUGAGGUUCUAACUCAGGUCCGUUAUCCGGAUCGAGGACAGUGUAUGGUGGGUAGUUUGACUGGGGCGGUCUCCUCCUAAAGAGUAACGGAGGAGUACGAAGGUGCGCUCAGACCGGUCGGAAAUCGGUCGUAGAGUAUAAAGGCAAAAGCGCGCUUGACUGCGAGACAGACACGUCGAGCAGGUACGAAAGUAGGUCUUAGUGAUCCGGUGGUUCUGUAUGGAAGGGCCAUCGCUCAACGGAUAAAAGGUACUCCGGGGAUAACAGGCUGAUACCGCCCAAGAGUUCAUAUCGACGGCGGUGUUUGGCACCUCGAUGUCGGCUCAUCACAUCCUGGGGCUGAAGCCGGUCCCAAGGGUAUGGCUGUUCGCCAUUUAAAGUGGUACGCGAGCUGGGUUUAGAACGUCGUGAGACAGUUCGGUCCCUAUCUGCCGUGGACGUUUGAGAUUUGAGAGGGGCUGCUCCUAGUACGAGAGGACCGGAGUGGACGAACCUCUGGUGUUCCGGUUGUCACGCCAGUGGCAUUGCCGGGUAGCUAUGUUCGGAAAAGAUAACCGCUGAAAGCAUCUAAGCGGGAAACUUGCCUCAAGAUGAGAUCUCACUGGAACCUUGAGUUCCCUGAAGGGCCGUCGAAGACUACGACGUUGAUAGGUUGGGUGUGUAAGCGCUGUGAGGCGUUGAGCUAACCAAUACUAAUUGCCCGUGAGGCUUGACCAUAUAACACCCAAGCA
rnacentral:rRNA from 1 species